UGGGGAAUUUUGGACAAUGGGGGCAACCCUGAUCCAGCCAUGCCGCGUGUGCGAAGAAGGCCUUCGGGUUGUAAAGCACUUUUGGCAGGAAAGAAACGGCGCCGGCUAAUAUCUGGCGUAACUGACGGUACCUGCAGAAUAAGCACCGGCUAACUACGUGCCAGCAGCCGCGGUAAUACGUAGGGUGCAAGCGUUAAUCGGAAUUACUGGGCGUAAAGCGUGCGCAGGCGGUUCGGAAAGAAAGAUGUGAAAUCCCAGGGCUCAACCUUGGAACUGCAUAUUUAACUCCCGAACUAGAGGGUGUCAGAGGGGGGUGGAAUUCCACGUGUAGCAGUGAAAUGCGUAGAUAUGUUGAGGAACACCGAUGGCGAAGGCAGCCCCCUGGGAUAACACUGACGCUCAUGCACG
rnacentral:rRNA from 1 species